CUUCAAAUUUACAGAUUCACCUGCCUGUGUCUCCUGAGUGCUGUGAUUAAAGUGGUGGUUCCCCCUUGUACCCAUUUGUGGCAUCAGACAGACCUGAACAAUCUGUGGUCCAGAAAUAACCAGUCAGCAAGGAAAUUAAAUUCAGGGACUGAUCAGACCUACUGAGAAAUAAAGCCUUUUUGUCGCUGUUGGACCUGGAGUUGUGACACUGUAAGUCAAAAACCAUACAUAGAAAGUGUCAGCCUGCAACUAAAGCCAUGCUGAAGAAAAGAUUGCCCAAGCUAUGAGAGAUAACUUCUGGUGGCAUCCGCUGAAACAUGGACCUAUGCUUGUCUCUAAGAAUCAUCAGCCUUCCAGUUAUGUGAGACAAUGGACUGCUUUUGGGGCUCAAAUGGUUUGCAUUAGAUUUAUAUCAAUUAUAAUGGAAGCAAAUCUGAGUAAUUUAACAAAUAUGAUUAUAAAACCUAGCAAAAAUUAAAGCCAUGUAAUUUAUCAAAAUCUUUUUCUCCCCAGAUGGAUUCAGUGUAUAACAGCAUCUAAUAAGCAAAAGGUGAAGAAAAAAGGAUUAAGUAUCUGUCACUAUGGCAAACUGGUAGGAGUAGGCAUCAUACAGUAUGACUAGGUGGCCUUCACACACCAGCCAGCCUUUGGUGGUAUCAUUUUUUCCAUCUGUGAUGUGAAGAGGUCUAGCCUUCCAUUAUUACACCACCUAACAAGCAAGAAGCCGUGUGUCCCCAGUCCUGGCAUAAGUAACUGUGAUAGUUAACUGGAUUGGAUUAAAAAUGUUUAUGAGA